rnacentral:rRNA from 1 species
CAGUCGCCGCGGGAAUACGAAGGGGGCUAGCGUUGUUCGGAAUAACUGGGCGUAAAGGGCGCGUAGGCGGAUCUUUAAGUCAGGGGUGAAAUCCCAAGGCUCAACCUUGGAACUGCCUUUGAUACUGGGUAUCUUGAGUAUGGAAGAGGUUAGUGGAAUUGCGAGUGUAGAGGUGAAAUUCGUAGAUAUUCGCAGGAACACCAGUGGCGAAGGCGGCUGACUGGUCCAUAACUGACGCUGAGGUGCGAAAGCGUGGGGAGCAAACAGGAUUAGAUACCCCGGUAGUCCCUGUCUCUUAUAC